GUCUCCAUCGUCUAGCGGUUAGGACACCGGGUUUUCAUCCCGGCAACAGGGGUUCGAUUCCCCUUGGAGAUGCCA
rnacentral:tRNA from 2 species